rnacentral:rRNA from 1 species
UACGGGGGGGGCAAGCGUUUUUCGGAAUUACUGGGCGUAAAGGGCUCGUAGGCGGCCAACUAAGUCAGACGUGAAAUCCCUCGGCUUAACCGGGGAAUGGCGUCUGAUACUGGAUGGCUUGAGAUUGGGAGAGGGAUGCGGAAUUCCAGGUGUAGCGGUGAAAUGCGUAGAUAUCUGGAGGAACACCGGUGGCGAAGGCGGCAUCCUGGACCAACACUGACGCUGAGGAGCGAAAGCCAGGGGAGCAAACGGG